GUGUUUGCCUUUUUCAUGGCUCUGAGAUAUCAGAGUCUCCAGGCUGUUUGUGCCUUACCACUUCUCUGGCACUUUACCUCAACGUUUUCAAACAGCAACCAGCUUUGCUUUGAGAUUUUUGUCUACCAUUGACCAGUGCAUAUUGGUUUGUUUAACCCCUGUUUUGCUGGACGCAGUUUCGCCAGCCUCAUUGGAUCCGAUCCAACUGCCUAGUGAAGUACUGUGAAUACCUCAUUCGGACUGCCUGGUGGAUGCGGUUUUUGGGAUGCAUGCGGAAGGAGGCACUCAAUACUGUGGAAUUUUCUUUCACAGUUUUACUUAAUGGUACACGGCUGAUUUUAAUGCAAUUGGAUGAUCUUGGACUUUGGAUAAAAGCUUGUUGUAUUGCCCUUGAUGAAGCUCAACGAGCGAAACAUGUCGGGCCCCUUCCAACAGGUUCCUCUGCGACUUUUUAGUCGCUAUUACCAUCAAUGAGACCAUCCAUGUCUUGUCUUGUAUUUUGUUAUAUGUAAAAUUUAUGUAUGAAUAAAUUAUUAUUUUUGUAUUUA